CGCUGUGCACCUAUAUGCUAUAUACAAUGUAUAUAUUUCUGGAAAAAUAUACUAGUGCAGAAGAGCAGCAGGCCUGGCCCAUUUAUUAAAAAGGAAACAAGUCACGCACAAACAUCAAUCCCUUCUCCUUCGCUGGCUCCUUGAAUUACGCCUCGCCCCAAGGGACCCCGACGGACCUACAACGGCAGGGACGCGAGAGCAACUGCAGCAUGGCCGUCCGAGCCGUGUUCAUGGUGAAGGGCAGGCGGUGGAGAUGUGAAGUCCAGGCACUGUUCAAGUCAGGUAAUUCUGCAGGUUGUGGCAUUGCAAGAAUUUUCAUUAUUGGGUAGAUGGAGCAUAUAAUUUCUUCUAAUUUACUCCAAAACCAAGAUUUAAGAAAUCAGGUUCUCUCCUUUUUUUUGUAACAAUGUUGCCA